AGUCUGGAAGGAAUUCGCGGGGUGGCGGAAGGAGCUCCAGGAUACGGCAGAUAGAGCCAUUAGUACUGCGUGAUGACCGCGACAGGUCGGGCCUCGACGGCUGGGGGAGGAUGGUGGAAACUCCUGGAUCAUCUUUUCCCGUUCCCGUAAGGCAGAGCUGGGGCUCCGGAGGUCCGAGGCAGGCGGGCCCUCCGCGCCCUGGCACGCAGCGUCACCAAGCCUCACACCUGGACGCAGUGACUAGAUUUCCCACCGUUGGCGGGGGAGUAAAGCCGGCCAGGCGUCUCACGGGAACCGCCCAGCUGGAACAUUAGCGGGACACAUACCUCAAGAACUGCUGAUGGAAUUCAGUGAUCAAAGGAACUUUAAAAAAAAUCUGUAACUAAAGUUAAUAUUUCAUUGUUUUAUUAUUUUAUUAUUGGCUAAAACAUGUUUUGCUUAUGCCUUAUGGCUGAAGGGCAGGAUUAGGGUGCGGAUAGAGAGUACACGGCAUAGCACCCACCAUGCGCGUGGCUGGAGCUUAACACUCAUCUGUGGAACUGAGGAAUCAGCUACCAUGUUGUGAGGACACUCAAGCAGCCAUGUGGAGAGGCCCAUAUGAAGAAGAACUGAAGCCUUCCUGUACCUAAUUUGCCAGCUGUGUAUGCCACCUUGGAAGUAGCUCCAUCAGCCCCUGUCAAGUCUCUAGAGGACUGUAGUUUUGGUCUCAGGAAUGACCCUAAGCCUGAACUACCCAGCCAC